rnacentral:rRNA from 1 species
GAGUUUGAUCGUGGCUCAGGAUGAACGCUAGCGGCAGGCUUAACACAUGCAAGUCGAGGGGCAGCGCGGUAGCAAUACUGGCGGCGACCGGCAAACGGGUGCGGAACACGUACGCAAUCUACCCUUAUCUGGGGCAUAGCCCGGAGAAAUCCGGAUUAACUCCCCAUAGUAUUAGUUGGUGGCAUCACCGGUUAAUUAAAAAUUUAUUGGAUAAGGAUGAGCGUGCGUCCCAUUAGCUAGUUGGUAGGUAACGGCCUACCAAGGCGACGAUGGGUAGCUGGUGUGAGAGCACGACCAGCCACACGGGCACUGAGACACGGGCCCGACUCCUACGGGAGGCAGCAGUGAGGAAUAUUGGUCAAUGGACGCAAGUCUGAACCAGCCAUGCCGCGUGAAGGAUGAAGGGCCUUCUGGGUUGUAAACUGCUUUUAUCUGGGGAUAAAAGGGGGUGCGCCCCAACUGAAGGUACCAGAUGAAUAAGCCACGGCUAACUACGUGCCAGCAGCCGCGGUAAU